GCUUAACGCGAAGAACCUUACCUAGGCUUGAACUCCUACGAACCUGUUGUAAUGGACGGGGUGCCCGCAAGGGAAUGUAGUGAGAGGUGCUGCAUGGCUGUCGUCAGCUCGUGUUGUGAAAUGUUGGGUUAAGUCUCGCAACGAGCGCAACCCCUAUCGUCUGUUGCCAGCAUUUAGUUGGGCACUCCGACGAGACUGCCUGGGUUAACCAGGAGGAAGGUGGGGAUGACGUCAAGUCCUCAUGGCCCUUAUGUCUAGGGCUACACACGUAAUACAAUGGCGCGUACAAUGGGAAGCGAACUAGUGAUAGGGAGCAAAUCUCAAAAAAGCGCGCCUCAGUUCGGAUUGGAGUCUGCAACUCGACUCCAUGAAGUUGGAAUCGCUAGUAAUCGGAGAUCAGCACGCUCC
rnacentral:rRNA from 1 species